GUGUGCCAGUAUGUCUGUCUGUGUGUGUCAGUAUGUCUAUCUGUGUGUGUGUCAGUAUGUCUUACACACACACACACACACACACACACACACAGACAUACUGACACACACACACAGGAAUA